rnacentral:rRNA from 1 species
CCUACGGGAGGCAGCAGUAGGGAAUAUUGCUCAAUGGGGGAAACCCUGAAGCAGCAACGCCGCGUGGAGGAUGACGGUCUUCGGAUUGUAAACUCCUUUUGUUAGAGAAGAUAAUGACGGUAUCUAACGAAUAUUCACCGGCUAACUCCGUGCCAGAAGCCGCGGUAAUACGGAGGGUGCAAGCGUUACUCGGAAUAACUGGGCGUAAAGAGCGCGUAGGCGGGUUAGCAAGUCAGUUGUGAAAUCCUAUGGCUUAACCGUAGAACUGCAAUUGAAACUGUCAUUCUAGGGUAUGGGUGAGGUAGGUGGAAUUCGUGGUGUAGGGGUAAAAUGCGUAGAGAUCAAGAGGAAUUCUGAUUGCGAAGGCAGCCUACUAGAACGUAACUGACGCUGAUGCGCGAAAGCGUGGGGAGCGAAAGGGAUUAGAUACCCCAGUAGUC